CUGCCCGAGACCUCACCAGAAAGGCUUGUGAUGUCAUUUCUACCAACAUUCUGUUCCUGUAUUCUCUAAGAAGAUGGAGACUCUCUCUACAGCUCCCCUCUGUUCUUUCUGAGACCUCACCAGAACUGCCUUUAACAUCCACAUUUCCAACAACAGUCCUUUGGUGGCAAUUUAGGCUUUCUCUGGCAAGCACCAUCAAACUCUAACCUCUACCCAUUUCCCAGUUCCAAAGCUGCUUCUGCAUUUUUAGACUCUGGGAUGUCCAAGCUGAGGGUUCCAGCAGGGUAUGGUUGCUGGUGAAGGUUCUCUCCCACUUCUCUGUUUCAUCUCCUCGGGAGCACUGAGCACUGUCCAAAAUUCCACAGGCUUCACUUGCUUGUUGUCUUUCUCCAUGAGAGGUAAGUGAGGAAAAAAGAGCAGAUCUUAGAAUUUUACAGACACAGAAAGUAUUUUUGUGUGGAGGUGAAAAUGAAGACAAAAUAAUCCUUUUUGGGAAUAAAAAGGGAACUGAGGCAAGCAGGCAAGGAACUUGUGGUGGACACACCCUAAGGUGAUCCUUAAUGACCUGACUUGUAGAAUUCUCUUCUCCGGAAUGUGGGUGACACCUGUGACCUUCCUCUAACCAGUAGAAUAUGGUAAAGGUGAUGGCACACCAUUAUGUUCCGUUCUCUAAGACUCCACGUUCGCAGACCAGGGUGAGAGGCGCUCCUGCCAGCCUUGAAGAAGCAAGCUGCUGGGACAUGGGCUUCCCGUGUAGAAAGCCGCAAAGCGGGGAACCGCAGGGAGAGCCUCUAACCAGGAAGAAACCAGGAGCCCUCUGUCCCGUCUCCAUGAUGACCUGAAUUCCCCCCACAACCACCUGAGCUCCGAAGAAGACCCUGAGAUCCAGAAGGGACACAGCUCUGCUAACAGCUUGGCUGCAGCCUAGCGGGAUCCUGAGCACAGGACCCAGAAACUGUGAGAUAAUAAACAUGUGUUGUUUCAAGCUACUAAAUUUGGUGUAAUUUUUUUUUUUGUUUUUGUUUUGUUUUGUUUUACAGCAAUGAAAAAUUAAUGCAAAGCUGUGGCAGAAAGAAAAGUGAUUUUCAGAAUCAGUUUAGUAGAAGGGCUUCUGGAAAAGAAAACUCAGGGUAAUAUCAAACCUGGGUUAGGAAGGGGGUCUUGCUGUUGACAUGUGCAGAAGGCAGUUAAGGUGACCAAAGAUCAAAUGAAUCAGAAAAUAUGGGCUCCCGUCCACUUAGAUUCAUGUUGGACAUUCACAUCUCACAGAUGAGUGGAGAUGCCUGGAAAAGCAGAAGAAUAUUAAAUAUUGACUAUCAUUUUACUAGUGAUAACAAUGACAAAAAUAUAUGCGUGUGUGUG